UACGUAGGGGGGCAAGCGUUGUCCGGAUUCAUUGGGCGUAAGGAGCGUGUAGGCGGCCAGGUAGGUCGGUUGUGAAAACUGGAGGCUCAACCUUCAGAGGUCGACCGAAACCAUCUGGCUAGAGUCCGGGAGAGGAGAGUGGAAUUCCAGGUGUAGCGGUGAAAUGCGUAGAUAUCUGGAGGAACACCGGUGGCGAAGGCGGCAUCCUGGACCGGUAUUGACGCUGAGGCGCGAAAGCUAGGGGGAGCAAACGGG
rnacentral:rRNA from 1 species